CCACCAUGUGCCUUGCAGAACAUGGUGCUUCCUUGCGCUCCUUUCGUGCACUGGGGGUACUGACAGCGCCGGCCACCUCCAUGUGAAAUGCAGAGGCCAGAGAGACCUUCUGCGCUUUUGGUGCAGCCCUCGUUCUGGCAUCUCUUGCCACCGCCAUGUCGAAUGCAUAAUCCAGACUUCCCUCUGGCAGCACGAGUGCACCCCUCUUGACUGCAACGGCGUCCACCCCCAUGAGCAAUGCAAAAGUCAGUGCGUCCUUCUGCACUCUUGGUGCAACCUAGGAACUCACACAGACGACCACCCCCGUGGGCUUUGCAAAAUGCAGUCCGACCCUCGGCUCCCUUGUGGCAGCCUGGUUUCUGACACCUACGGCCCCCACCAUGAGCAAUGCAAAGGCCAGAAGCACCUCUUGCUCCUUUUACACAUCCCUUGAACUGACACUGUUUGGUACUACUGCUACGUUGUUCCUGCUGCUGCUGUUGUGAUAACCCGGAAGUACAGGUGACUGAGCUUUUUGAAUUUGUGAUUAAACUUGAUGAGAGAUCAGGAGAGACUGGAGCUUGCUUGAUUAAUGUUGCAGUCUGGUUCAAGAAGUAACUAGAAUCAGCUUCCUUUGGAGUUUGUAAUGGAUGGAAAAUGUUGCUGGCCUUCCAAUGUGUAGCUGUUGAUACUUCAUCAGUGUGAAAAGCUCCAGCUAUAGCCUGUGGCGCCUUCAUGAUACUUUGUGGUGAGGUGGAGAGCAAAUGAACAGUAGUAACAUCAGAUUCAGCAGCACAACUAGAAAGACUUAGUUCCAGAUCAACUGCAAGCCCUUUGUCAAGUUUAAUUGAAUUGAGGUGAGCAGACUUUUUUGAGCUUGGGAUCUUCUCAUUACCAAGAUGGAGACUAAAGUCCAAAUCCA
rnacentral:lncRNA from 1 species